rnacentral:rRNA from 1 species
GGAGGGUGCGAGCGUUGUUCGGAAUCAUUGGGCGUAAAGGGCGUGUAGGCGGCUGGGUAAGUCUGAUGUGAAAGCCCGGGGCUCAACCCUGGAAGUGCAUUGGAGACUGCUCGGCUUGAGUACUGGAGAGGAUGGGGGAAUUCCCGGUGUAGAGGUGAAAUUCGUAGAGAUCGGGAGGAAUACCAGUGGCGAAGGCGCCCAUCUGGACGGUGACUGACGCUGAGACGCGAAAGCGUGGGGAGCAAACAGGAUUAGAUACCCUGGUAGUCCACGCUGUAAACGUUGGGUGCUAGACGUCGGGGGUAUUGACCCCUCCGGUGUCGAAGCUAACGCAUUAAGCACCCCGCCUGGGGAGUACGGCCGCAAGGCUA